GACGAACGCUCGCGGCAUGCUUAACACAUGCAAGUCGAACGCUAAGUCCCUGCUUUUUUGGUCUGCCAGAGUGCCGACGGGUUCAGUAACACGUUAGUAACCUGCCCAUGCCUUUGGAAUACCUUCGGGAAACUGGGGCUAAUACCGGAUAGGAUCUCCUGCUGCAUGGUUGAGGUUUGAAAGCUUCGGCGCGUGGGGAUGGACUCGCGGCUUAUCAUCUUGUGGGGGUGGUAGUGGCUUACCAAGGAUCUGACGGGUAGCCGGCCUGAGAGGGUGACGGGCCACAGUGCGGAUGAGAUACGGCCGAGACACUUAGGGGAGGCAGCAGUGGGGUGUAUGGCACAAUGGGCGGAGGCCUGAUGCAGAAACGCCGCGUGCGGGAUGACGGCCUUCUGGGUGUAAAACGCAUUAGCGUGUGACGAAGCGUGAGGGACGGUAAUGGGGAAAGAAGCACCGGCUAACUACGG
rnacentral:rRNA from 1 species